rnacentral:rRNA from 1 species
CCUACGGGUGGCAGCAGUGAGGAAUAUUGGUCAAUGGACGCAAGUCUGAACCAGCCAUGCCGCGUGCAGGAAGACGGCUCUAUGAGUUGUAAACUGCUUUUGUACGAGGGUAAACGCAGAUACGCGUAUCUGUCUGAAAGUAUCGUACGAAUAAGGAUCGGCUAACUCCGUGCCAGCAGCCGCGGUAAUACGGAGGAUUCAAGCGUUAUCCGGAUUUAUUGGGUUUAAAGGGUGCGUAGGCGGUCGGAUAAGUUAGAGGUGAAAUCCCGAGGCUCAACUUCGGAAUUGCCUCUGAUACUGUUCGGCGAGAGAGUAGUUGCGGUAGGCGGAAUGUAUGGGGUAGCGGUGAAAUGCUUAGAGAUCAUACAGAACACCGAUUGCGAAGGCAGCUUACCAAGCUACUUCUGACGUUGACGCACGAAAGCGUGGGGAGCAAACAGGAUUAGAUACCCUAGUAGUC